rnacentral:rRNA from 1 species
CAUCGCCACGGUAAUACAGAGGGUGCGAGCGUUAAUCGGAUUUACUGGGCGUAAAGCGUGCGUAGGCGGCUUCUUAAGUCGGAUGUGAAAUCCCUGAGCUUAACUUAGGAAUUGCAUUCGAUACUGGGAAGCUAGAGUAUGGGAGAGGAUGGUAGAAUUCCAGGUGUAGCGGUGAAAUGCGUAGAGAUCUGGAGGAAUACCGAUGGCGAAGGCAGCCAUCUGGCCUAAUACUGACGCUGAGGUACGAAAGCAUGGGGAGCAAACAGGAUUAGAUACCCCGGUAGUCCCUGUCUCUUAUACA